GUAAAACGCUUGCUCCAAUGGCCACCAAACUUUUAUUUUAGUGCCGAUCAGUUCUGCACCAUGAUCUUUGCUGGUACGAGCCCUUUCAGAAUCCUUAUCUCUAGAUUCUUCAGUAUUAGUUGUUUUCUUUGUCUUCUUCUUCCACAGUUUGAUUCCAAAAAUUUGUUGCAGUGUUGGCUCUUUGUGUUCUUCGAGGUUUCCUUCUUCAUUUUUUAUGCCAGAUUCAGAUUUUCUCUCUGUUUCACAAUCUGAAGCAGACUCAUUCUUCUUUGAGUCGCUUCCUAGUUUUCUUUUGGCACACUGUGUGCGCUUGGUUCUCUCUCCCAAAUGAAGAGAAUCUUUUUUCUGAACUUGGGAUUGUGGCACAUCUCCUAUUGGAAUUGACACAACCAGCUCAUCAUCGUUAUUUAUCGGGAUCUCUUUUCUCUUGGACUGACACAGAUGACCAUGACUUCCAGUGCUAUUAUUGUGAUUUUCAGACACCAAAGAAUGAUGGCCACUACUAUCUGUAAGUUCAUGACUUCCAGUCCCUUCCUGGUUUUCUUUUGGCACAUUUGUUGCUGGUUGCACAUCUUCUGGAUUGUCAGGUUUCAUUAUGUUUGUUGUACAAGUAUCUUUUAGCUUCUCCCUGUGAAUGUCAUCCUGCAGCACUGGCUCACAAAAUUUAGCCUCGGAUGGACCAACUUUUACAGGAUGACCUGUAAGUUU
rnacentral:misc_RNA from 1 species